rnacentral:lncRNA from 1 species
CCCCCCCCAACUAUUGCCCACCAGUAAAUUUCUCCAAAUUUUAUAUAGCGUCUAGGCUCUAAACAAUCAAAUUAGAACUUACCUCAAAAUUUUCAGUAGAAGAGGUUGUUUUGAUGCGCAAAUAUCUUCAAAUUGAUCAUCUCGACAUCAAGAUACAUGGACUUGAGAAAAAAAUAGAUUUCAAGUUUUGGAAAUAAUGCAUCUUGUAAGGCAUUUUUGGACCAUCAAUUUUUAUGUUAUUCAAGUUUCAUAGAUUUGCUUGAUCUGCACUAUUUUUUAAGCUUUAAAUUUUAUAAUUAAAGAUGAAAAUAUAUUCUAAAGCUAGACAAAGAUUUUCAAUAUUGAAACCACAUUUCUCGCCACUAUUUGAAGGUGGGCUCUAAUUUGAUUGUUUAGAGCGUCAGCUCUAUACAAACCGCACACCCUAAAAAUACUUCUAGGUUAAGUUCUAUCCGGGGUAAUAAAUGGAUGAAAUGCUCCAAUGGAAGCAUAAAUUUUUUUAAACUUUCUCAAUUUAGAAACAAAGUAUGGGUAACUUGUUGAUAUAUUAAAAUGUGCAGGUUGAAAGAGCCCACCACAAGGGUUGCUUGUGUAUUAUUUGUGCCCAUGCCAGGCUGUUGGGUCAGAUGUCUCAUAAAUAAAGAAAAGGACAGGAGAAAAUCUUCAACAUGCAUCGAUCUUGUAAUGGAAAGAAGACACAGCCUCGAUCUUUCUUAGAAUGCCCAGAGAAUUCCUGGUCCCAUAGGUGGUGAUAAUUAGGGGAGUCCUAGUGCUUUUGGCACCUUAAUAUUGUGUGCUAGAGGGCACAGUGGCACAUGUACCUGUGCCCGUCAAGAGGCAUCUCAUGUCCCACCACUGUCUAUCAAUAAUUGGAGGGUGGAGAUUGUAUGGAGCUCGUUCAUCGCCAUGAGCUGUGUACGUGCUGAUUGUAGCGGAGAGGUCCCUCUCGUGUCAAUGCAAUUUCCAUUGAACUAACGAUGAGGAAUGGACUCAAGGCAUAGGUUUGUUAGGAUAGUAGGUACCACGAUAUGACGACUUGAUUUGAG